GAUGAACGCUGGCGGCGUGCUUAACACAUGCAAGUCGAACGGAAAGGCCCAAGCUUGCUUGGGUACUCGAGUGGCGAACGGGUGAGUAACACGUGGGUGAUCUGCCCUGCACUUCGGGAUAAGCCUGGGAAACUGGGUCUAAUACCGGAUAGGACCACUUCUUGGAUGUUGUGGUGGAAAGUUUUUUCGGUGUGGGAUGAGCUCGCGGCCUAUCAGCUUGUUGGUGGGGUAAUGGCCUACCAACGCGUCGCCGGGUAGCCGGCCUGAGAGGGUGUAAGGCGACAUUGGGGCUUAGAGACGGCCCAGACUCCGACGGGAGGCAGCAGUGGGGAAUGUUGCACAAUGGGCGCCAGCCUGAUGAAGCGAGGCCGCGUGGGGGAUGACGGGCUUAGGGUUGUAGACUCCAUUCGCUAGGGACGAAGCGUUUUGUGACGGUACCUGGAGAAGAAGCACCGGCUAACUACGUG
rnacentral:rRNA from 1 species